rnacentral:misc_RNA from 1 species
AGAAGUCAAAUUAUGAUUAAGCUGGAAACAUGACUUUCAUUCAAGAAAUACAUAACUGACAAUGAUUCUUCAUACACAAACUAACUUCACAAGGAAUCGUAAUGGUUCAAGAACAGGUACUUAAAUGGAAGCUGCUCAUUACUUUCUCAUUUUUUCAUCAAAUGUUAACAUCAAGGAUAAAAUUGGAGGGUCAUCGUUGAGCUGAAUUCCAGGAACUAUUUAUGGGCCAUGGCUCACAUCAUAAGAAGAAAGAUUACUCUGAGUUUACUUCUACUUGUGACGCUGAUAUGAGCAUGAACUAGUUUCCAAUAAAGACAACCCACAUCACAAAUACAAAAGAUAAGCUCUUGGCUCUUCUUUUUCUUGUGGGCAUUAAAAAACU